AACAAAAACCCAAGUUUAAGAAUCAAGGCAACAUUCAACGACCUUAACAAGAAUAAAAAAUAGAAAUAGAUUCAGAUGUAAGACAUAUGAAAACUUUAAAUUCAUAGAAAUCUAGGAUACAAAGACCAUAGAUCAUAAAUCAAGAAAACCCAAUAAAAGAUAUACACACAUUUAUGUACACAAAAAAAAAGAGGAACAGUGAAGAAAUUUACAGAAAUGAUAAUGGCACAGAUCUCGACAGACGCUAAUCACGAAACGCGUAAAGAAACUGAUGAAUCUGAAUUCGUAGUGAAUGUAAAUCCAUGUUUUCAGCAGGUCGCUGUAGGAUUUUGUCCUUCUCAGAGAGAGAGGAGAACUGAAGAUGUUUUCACUUUUCCAUACUUGC
rnacentral:lncRNA from 1 species